rnacentral:misc_RNA from 1 species
GUUUUUAGCAUCUUGUUUUCUUUUAUCUAAUCUUGAUGUCUUAUUCAUUGACUGAUGCUGUCUCUGGACGUCAGGCUCUUUUAUUUGGUUUUUAUUCCAUUUAAGAGAAUGUGAAUGAUACAAGGAAUGAAAGGUGGAGUUAUACGUGUCAGCUUGAUGGUCUUUGGCUUCAUUUUAAUAAUGUUAAAUGUCUUUUGCCAUUCCAAGCAGCCGUAUUGGCUGCACACGGCUUUUCAAGCUUGCUGUUAUGAAGUAAAUCUACCUUUUCGUUUACCUAUGCACACUUUUUUCACAAUAUUUCUGGUUGUUGAAACUUUUCAAUCAUGCUAUGGGAACCACUGCUGCUUGUUUGAGGCUCUUGGAUAAAAUUGGACAAUCUCUUA